rnacentral:rRNA from 1 species
GACGAACGCUGGCGGCGUGCUUAACACAUGCAAGUCGAACGCUGAAGCCCUUUCGGGGGUGGAUGAGUGGCGAACGGGUGAGUAACACGUGGGUAAUCUGCCCUGUACUUCGGGAUAAGCCUUGGAAACGGGGUCUAAUACCGGAUAGGACCUGUCCUCGCAUGGGGGUGGGUGGAAAGUUCCGGCGGUAUGGGAUGAGCCCGCGGCCUAUCAGGUGGUUGGUGGGGUAGUGGCCUACAAAGGCGGCGACGGGUAGCCGGCCUGAGAGGGUGACCGGGCUCACGGGGGAUGAGACACGUGCCAGACUCCCACGGGAGGCAGCAGUGGGGGAUCAUGCGCAAUGGGCGAAAGCCUGACGCAGCCGCGCCGCGUGGGGGAUGACGGCCUUCGGGUUGUAAACCUAUUUCGACAUCGACGAAGGGGCCCUGUUGUGGGGUUUUGACGGUAGGUGUAGAAGAAGCACCGGCUAACUACGUGCCAGCCGCCGCGGUAA